GACCGUUGGGCGAGUCCCUGAGCCCCCCCCGCGCGCCCCGCCUGACGCCUGUCCUGGCGGGCUGUGAGGCGGCGGCGCCGCGCAGAGCGCGAGGCACUCGCAGCCCCAGGGGCCGUUGGCUGAGCUGCGGCAGGCAGCGCGUGGCACAGAGACCUAUGGCCAGGACGGUGAGGGCAAACCCCCGGCUCGGGGGCAGGCUAGCCUGCUGCGGAAUGGCUCUUGGUAGCCCAGCCACCCCAAGCAGGAGCGAGCGGGGCUGUGAUAGUGGAGUUGUACAGGUCACCCUGCUGUCCUGGGGGCUGUUGGUACCUGAUCCCUGCAGGCACGAGGGAGGCUGCAGUGUGUCCCUCUCUCUACUAUGAUCUGCCGGAACGGCAAACUAGAGCCCACACUGUGUGCUUUCAGGGAUUGGGGGUCAUUGGCGCUGUAGCAGACCAGGGAGCCCCCUGCAGCUCUGGAGUCCUGGGGGUGAAUGAGCAGGGCUGAGCGGAGACCCUGGGCCAGGACUGCCAGGAGGAGGAUGAGCCCCUGGCUGUGGGGGAGGCUACCCGGCUGCUGAAUGGCUCCUGUCCUCACACUUAUCCAAACUCCCGCUUAUCUGAAAAAAAAUCCAUGUGGCCCCUAGUAUUCAGACAAUGAGGACUACAUUGUAUUUUCUUUAGAGAGAAAAAAAUCAAAUUUACAACUACAAAACAGGGAAUAAUUGUUAAGGUGGUAGUACUGCUAAAAAGCAACUGGGGGUUAUGAUUCAGUUGUGAAGAAGGCUAAUAUGCUGUGCUGUGUUAACAAGAGUGUCAUAUGUGAGACAUGGGAGGUAAUUGUCCCGCUCUACUCAGCACUAGUGAGGCCUGGGUCCAGUGCCAUAUGUUAAGAAAGAUGUGGACAAAUUGGAGAGAAUCCACAGGAGAACAACAAAAAUGAUAAAUGGUUUAGAACACUUGAUUUAUGAGAAUGGUUUAAAAAAAAACAGGGCAUGUUUAAUCUUGAGAAAAGAUUGAAGGGGGACCUGAGAAGUCAUCAGAUAUGUUAAGGACUUAUAAAGAGGACUGUGAUCAGUUGUUCUCCGUCUGCUGAAGGUAGGAUAGGGCUUAAUCUGCACUAACUGUAAGGAUCGAUAUGGUCUGGAAUAGAAUAGAUAUGGAAUCCCUAUCAUUGGAGGUUUUUAAGAACAGGUUGGACAAACAGCUGUGAGGAUUGAUCUAGCUUUUCCUGGUCCUACCUCAGCAUCGGGGGGCUGGACUUGAUCUCUUGAUGUCCUUUACAGCCCUAAAUGAUUUUUCUUCUCCAACUACUGCUUCUCUGCUGGCUCCCUUGUCCCCAUUGUGCCACUCAAUUCAGCAGAGACAGGUGACCAACAAUGUUGCUUUCUAGACCUCAGCAGCAGCAUGUUCCAUCCUCCAAAUGAUAGACAUGGUGAAAGGGAAGUGGACAGGUAGAAAGGACAUAGGGCUAGGUGGCAGAGAAUCAGAAAGACAAUAGUGAGAGAGCUUGUAACAGAGAGGGAAAGGGAGGAAAGAAAACACUGCACUACAAAUGGGAAGGUUGGUCUUGUGACUAAUGCACAGAACUGGAGAAUCAGGACUCCUGGCAUCUAUUCCCAGCUUUGCUACUGACUCACCAUGCAACUUUGAAAAAAUCCUAUCUCACCUCUGUUCUUCAAUUUUCUCAUCUAUAAAAUGGGAAUAAAUAUGGAGCUACUUUAUAGGUAGGAGAAAGUGCCUUAAAAAUGAAGUAUCAGCAUUACUUUAUUAUUAGAUGAGUAGAGAGGCUGAAUUAAAAGGUACUUUUUGCACUUCAGAUCCACAGAAAUGUCAGUCGAGGAGAUCCUUAGUACUUGGCCCCAGUAUAUUCCAGCUCCUGUGCCUCCAGUGUCAGCUCUUCCCAUUGGGGCUGGGUGGGGUGGUACCCAUGCAGCACACAGGGCAAUAGCACUCACAUAUAGUCCAUUGUCCAUUUCCGUCCAACCCUUCUGAUGUCUCCUCCUGCGUUGGCAUGCUGCUUUUCUGUGGUAGUAGCAAUCACUUUGCGUUCUUUUCGGCCCAUGCAACAAGCCAGUCAAGGAAGAGCCCUUCCACUACCAGAAGCUUCAGCUACAAUUGUAGAGUAGAAAAAAAACUGAGUUAGGUAUAUCGAUGUAAAAUCCUAGUGGAGACAAGAUACUGUGGUUUCUACCUCAAUGUAGUUAGUCCACGUAAAUUCCAGUUGGGGGUAUAGAGUUGACCAUGAUUACCAUAUUGAGAUACAAACUACCUGUGCUUUGUCUCCACUAGGAUUUAACGUUGAGGUAGCUAACUUGAGAUAGCUAUAUCAAUGUAAAGACACACCUUUUUUUGCAGUGGAGAUAUAGAGGCUGUUCUUAGGCUGUCUACUUUGGAUUUACAUGGCAGGAGAGAACUUAUUUUAAGAGAGAACCUGCAUAUAUGGCUCUCUUGCGCAAUGGACCAGCGUACUUUCCUGUUAAAUGAAACACCAGUGUUUUGAGCUUAUUCUUGACAUUAGCUCUGUUUUUCAUUUUUUCCUGGAUCUCCCAUGGACUAGAAAGCUCACACACAUGACAAAUUGGGCACGGUGGGGGGCUCUCUGCCAUCACUUCAGAUGAAAGAACUAGUGCCUAACACUUAAUGGUUAAAUCUGUGGCCUGCACACUCCUACAGCAUCAGUUUUCAGAUAACAAUAUCCCUCAGCGUAGCACUGGCUUCAUCCACCACCUAUUCAAAGGCAAGUAUUUAAGGAUACAGGCCAAGAAUAGGCAGCACUUAGUCAUGUGAAACUAAGCAAUUUUUAUUUAUAAUACCAACACGAUCUACAAUAUUGUGAACAAAUACAUUACAUUCUCAGUUCAUGAUUCUAGGAACUGAUAAGGUCUUCAACGAAAGGCUUACAGAGGCUGAUAUCUUGUUACCUGUUCCUCUGGGCUUUGUAGGGGCAGCUCCCCCCUUCUACUCACAGUACUCCAGUUUUCUUUGCACAAGACACACAGGGCCCAGGGAAUUACCAGUGUCGAGUCAGAAUAAAAUUAAAUUAUUCCAAAAAUGUCAUACUGGCCAGAUGAAAGAGAAAACAUUCACUGCUGGUUGUUCGUCUGCUGUUAGAUUGCCCAGAGCUGAUUGGAUUUGAAGAUGCAGGCAGAUGUCUCAGCUUUGAAGUAGCUGGAUAUGAACUGAUGAAAUUGCAGUAAUAUCUCCUACUCCUACCACUCCCUUGAGCUCCCCUUCCUAUAAGAAAAACAGGAGAAUCAGAGUUUAACAGCUAAGCUUUCCUUGAUCUCAGUUCUUAAAUAAGACCCUCUCCAUACUUCCCUCCACUUCCAUGAACAGAGGGAACAGUAUGUUUUCAGAUCUGGUUCUAGGAAAGGGAUUGGCAUUGUGGGUUGAGGGACAGUGAAGGGUCUUUGGGGAUUUGACAGAUUCUCUCCAAUACCCUCAAAGCAGGAGGGUAACAAGAGUGUAAGUUAUUGUAGAUUCAGUAGCGUUACUGUCUACAGCACUGCUUCCCCCUUUGCACUUGACAUUCUUGUUGGAGCUGACAGUUGAGAAGCCCUGCUAUCCAAGAGCCACAGUGAGCAAGGUGUGCUUAGCAACAUCAAAAGUCAGGAAAUAAAUUGUUAUGGUCAAACACUGUCCCACUGUGCUUAUGCCUUUAAUGCAGCAUUUUAAAAUAUAAAUUAUGAAACAUAAUACUAUAUAAUGCAAACUAGAUUCUUUUGUAUAUCCGUACAGAAAUUAAGGCACAAGAAUAUUAUUUUGUACACAUGGUUUAAUGUUUGUCUCAAUGGUAUCUGCAAACAAGCCAUGUUUAAAGCUAUUGCAAUGAUUUUUUCAAAGUACUGGACAUUUAUGGCUAAAUGGCUACGAGUUUAAGACAUUCCCAAGUUUGAUACAAUCCCUGUGUAUCGAACGCUCUAAGAAUGGGGUGGGGGUAGAGGGGGAAAGCCCUAGAGGGAAAAAAAAACGAACAAAAAGAUCACCUGACCAGGAUGGCGACAGUGCUUGUGAAAUGCUAAGGGAGGUUAGAGAGGCUACAGAAGCAGAAAGCGCAAUAAUAAUGGGUGAUUUCAACUAUCAUAUGGACUGGGAAAAUGUCACCUCAGGGCAUGAUGCAGAAAUAAAAUUUCUAGACAUCAGUAGUGAUGACUGCUUGGAGCAGCUAGUCCUGGAAUCACAAAGGGAGAGGCAAUUCUUGAUUCGGUCAAGUGGAAUACAGGAGCUCGUCCAAUAAAUAGCUGAGCCUCUCAGUAAUAGUGAUAAUAAUGUAAUUAAAUUUAACAUCUUUGUGGAGUGGAUGAUGCCAAAAAAACCCACCUUGGUAACAUUUAACAUUAAAAAGGGAAAUUACAUAAGAAUGAGGAUGCAUGUCAGAUGGAAAUUAAAAGGAACUGUCACAAGAAUUAAAUGCCUGCAAGGAGCAUGGGGCUGUUUAAAAACACCAUAAUAGAGGCUCAGGCCUAAAUCUAUACCCCAAAUCAGAAAAGACAGAGGACCAAAUGAAUGGAACAAUGGCUAAACAGCCAUGUAAUGGAGGCGAUUAGAAGCAAAAGACAUCCUUUAAAAUUUUGAAGUAAAAUUCUAGUGAGGAUAGUAAGAAAGUGCACACACACUGGCAGGUUGGGUAUAAAAGUAUAAGGCAGGCAGGCCACGAAAGAAUUUGAGAAGCAACUUGCUAAAGACAAAGUAUAGCAGAAGCAGGAAGCUGCCAAACAGGUAGUGGGGCCACUAGAUGACCACGGUGUUAAAGGAGCACUCAAGGAAGACAAGGCCACUGUAGAGAAGCGAAAUUAAUUCUUUGCAUUGGUCUUCAUUGCAGAGGAUGCAGAGAUUUUGGAACAAAUUGAUAAACAGUAAUACGUCACCAGGACCAGAUUGUAUUCACCCAAGAACUUAAAUAAGAAAUUGCAGAACUACUAACUGUGGUAUGUAACAUAUCAUUUAAAUCAGCUUCUGUACCAGAUGACUGGAGGGUAGCUAAUAUGAUGCCAAUUUUUUAAAAAGGCUCCAGAGGCGAUCCCAGCAAUUACAGGCUGUGAUAGUCUUGUAAAAAGGCUGAACAUAAGGGUACAGUCUGAUACCUCACAAGACAUACUUUGUACAAAAUGUAUCAUUUGAAAACUCAUAACUUGUAAAGCAUUAUUGUCCUGGUAAAAUGUGUGGCAACACAAUACUGCAUGAUGUUAGGCAUAUUUCAAAUCUGGGGAAGUAGCCCAAACCAAGUUCUGAGAGACAAAAGGCAAACUGAUGCCUCAGUCAGGUGUCAAGAAAAUCAAAUGGACUAUCACCUGGGUAAGUGGCCAUUCUUUGGCAGGAAGAUGGGUGUAAGUGAGAAAUUUACAUCUUGGCAAUGGAACAGGUGGAGGUUUCCAUUCAAUAGACUUUCUGUGGCCUGAACCUCAGCUGGAGAUGAUUUUCAAAGAUGAAAAUGAUGAAGAAGUGAGACUAGAGGACACAAAUUUUCACUCCCUUCAUCUUUACUCAUGGCAAAAAAAUGCUUGAAAGACAAAUGAAGCAUCAUUGGACAGGGAAGUGAUCCUGGCUGAAAGAUUCAGCCAGUAAGACUGCUAGAACAUACGGUGAGAGCGAUCCUUUGCUUUAAGUUCACUUAGCUUGUUAAGUUAGGUGUUAGUUUGCAUCUUACCUUUUAAUUUCUCUGUAACCAAUUCUGAAUUUUAUGCCACAUUACUUGUAAUCACUUAAAAUCUAUCUGUAGUUAAUAAACUUGUUUUAUUGUUUUAUCUAAA